CUGCACAGUCCUCUCCUUCCCCUCGCCCUCCCAAAUGCAGCACAGCAGUCAGGGCAGAAGCAGCCUGAUGGGAUCCAGAGGCUUCCCGCGAGCGGGAUCAGCCCUGAGACAGGACAGCGCCCAGCACAAGUGAUCCUGCGGGAUUUGCAGGAAGCCCAUGGCAUGCCCAGUAGAGACACGUGGGGUGAUUUCCUGCUUUCUGUGGAGGGGAAGAGUGGGAGGAAGUCUUGGCUGAGGCGGACAGGGAGAGGAGGAACCCGGCAGCCAACCCACCUUCUGCACCAGGAGGUGCUCUUGUACGUAGGCGGCCACCGCAUCCCAGACGGCAACUCGCUCUGGAGGGCAAAGGAAAAGCGGGUCACACUCUGCACCUGCCGCUUCCCAGCAGCCCUCCCGCUGCCAGGCGGGAGUGAGGUGGCAGAUGGAAAGUGUCGUCUGCGUGCCAGGAUUGGCUGCAGCAGCGCUCCUGUGGUGGCUGUGGAGCCGUGUACCUUCGGUGUCGGUGCAGGUGGGUAUGGAGGCACGCCUCGCUGCGGGGCCAUCCUCGCAGAAGCUCAUCCUGUUCCGCCUCGUGCCAGCGGGUUGCUCCUUGUUGGCGCCAGCCAUGCCGGAGCUCAUCCCUUCAGGUGCGUCUGCUCUCUACCAGAUGCUCCUUCAGGAUGCAGGACCCACCAGCGUGC
ensembl:lncRNA